rnacentral:rRNA from 1 species
CAGGAUUAGAUACCCUGGUAGUCCACGCCGUAAACGAUGUCGACUUGGAGGUUGUGCCCUUGAGGCGUGGCUUCCGGAGCUAACGCGUUAAGUCGACCGCCUGGGGAGUACGGCCGCAAGGUUAAAACUCAAAUGAAUUGACGGGGGCCCGCACAAGCGGUGGAGCAUGUGGUUUAAUUCGAUGCAACGCGAAGAACCUUACCUGGUCUUGACAUCCACAGAACUUUUCAGAGAUGGAAAGGUGCCUUCGGGAACUGUGAGACAGGUGCUGCAUGGCUGUCGUCAGCUCGUGUUGUGAAAUGUUGGGUUAAGUCCCGCAACGAGCGCAACCCUUAUCCUUUGUUGCCAGCGGUCCGGCCGGGAACUCAAAGGAGACUGCCAGUGAUAAACUGGAGGAAGGUGGGGAUGACGUCAAGUCAUCAUGGCCCUUACGACCAGGGCUACACACGUGCUACAAUGGCGCAUACAAAGAGAAGCGACCUCGCGAGAGCAAGCGGACCUCAUAAAGUGCGUCGUAGUCCGGAUUGGAGUCUGCAACUCG